CUGCAAUCUAAUCUAUAUUGUGAACGCCAGCUGUCUACAGGGUCUAAUGUUACUCCAUCCUAUCUGUCUGUGGUGUACAAUCUGUUGGCAGGUGCUUCCUCUUGGCGGGCAGAGAAAGAGGAAGUCACACGGGGACAUCUGCGAAGACCUGUAAGAUGGCAAGCACCUGUACUCAACCAGAACGUCUGCCAUCAGGCUGUGUCUACACUACAGUGGAGCUUGCUUUCCACAGCUGGGAGUGACCUUGGUGGGACUGAUGUGUGGCCUGGGCAGUGCCUGCGCACAAAUUCAAUUAUUUAUGGUGUGGCUGUGUAGAACUCGUGUUUGCUCAGAGAAGUGUCCUCCUCCAUCACAGAGAGCUUCAGGGACUACCGCUGAAUGAAAAGACAUCUGUUCAACAGGAAAGAGAUUAAGAGAAGAGACAUUAUUUACACCAACGUUAACUGUGCACAGGAAGUAUUUGAAAAAGUGAUUGUAAUCAAAAUAUGAUGAUCUCUUGAGGACAAGUAACUGAAAUAUAUAACGAAAUUGGCCAGAUUGUUUAAAACAAUGGACCCUUUUCACAGACUUUGAUGACGUGUUUCCACGGUUAUUAACAUCAAUCAAGCA